GAGGGUAUAGUUCAGUGGUAGAGUGCAUGCUUAGCAUGCACAAGGUCCCUGGGUUCAAUCCCCAGUACUGUUG
rnacentral:tRNA from 1 species